CCUCUGGUAGCUCAGUUGGUAGAGCGGUGGACUGUAGAUCCAUAGGACGCUGGUUCAAAUCCGGCCCAGAGGA
rnacentral:tRNA from 1 species